UAUCAGUAUUAAAAUUUAUUACACCGUGACAACAAUUAUGAAUAUUUUGUCUGCUAAAAGACAGGGUUUAUUCCUCUUCAAGCUUGACAUUAUCAACUUCAGUUUCUUGGAUGUCAACAUGAAAUUCAUGAAUCACAACUUCAAUAUCAUUUAUAUAUCUAAAUAUAUCAACACAGAGAUGACUUUGGUUUCUGAAGAGGAUUGUGCUGGAUUUUUGAGGAAUUUGUUAUGAGAGAAUAAAGGAAUGGGAAUAAGGAAUAAAAGUUUUAAGUGACAUUG
rnacentral:lncRNA from 1 species